rnacentral:rRNA from 1 species
GCUUGCUUCUCUGAUGGUUAGCGGCGGACGGUUGAGUAACACGUAGGCAACCUGCCCUCAAGUUUGGGACAACUACCGGAAACGGUAGCUAAUACCGAAUAGUUGUUUCCUUCGCCUGAAGGAAACUGGAAAGACGGAGCAAUCUGUCACUUGGGGAUGGGCCUGCGGCGCAUUAGCUAUUUGGUGGGGUAACGGCUCACCAAGGCGACGAUGCGUAGCCGACCUGAGAGGGUGAUCGGCCACACUGGGACUGACACACGGCCCAGACUCCUACGGGAGGCAGCAGUACGGAAUCUUCCGCAAUGGGCGAAAGCCUGACGGAGCAAUGCCGCGUGAGUGAUGAAGGUUUUCGGAUCGUAAAGCUCUGUUGCCAGGGAAGAACUCUUGGGACAGUAGCUGCUCUCGUGGUGACGGUACCUGAGAAGAAUGCCCCGGUUAACUACGU